CCAACAUUCCAAGUUGUUAGGGAGAAUGAAAGAUUCUUAAAGGAAACAGAAGCAAGCUUCAGUGGGGGAGAAAAGUAUGUCUGUGGGGCAGAUAGAAAGUAGAAGAGGGGAAAUGACCUUUUUCAAGGUUAUGAAAUGCAGAAGUGUUACAUAGAGGAGAAAGAGAAGGAAAAGAACAGCUCUACAAUUAGAACUCAAAGACAGAUUUGAGACUCUUCCUGAGGAGGAAAGAUCUGGAUACUUUGAGAAGGAAACCACUUGUCUUCCAAAGAGUAAUAGAAAUCGAGGCAGAGAAGUUAUCAGGUGAACAACGUAGUAAGGGGCAGAGGAAGAAGCAAUAAGGGGGACAGAGGUUAAUAUGGCUAUUUGUUGACAUUGUAACUAUUCAGAGAUCUGUUUGUCUUCCUGGAGCAUAUAUUCUGGACAUAACAGAGAAACCUCCCAAGACUUACCAAAAUGGAGGACAAUUCCCCACUUCUGGUGAUUUUCAUGUGGCCAUACAGAACACUUGCAAAAGGAACUCAAAAAUAUUGACAACAAUUAUGAAAUCUCGAGGAAGAAACUGAAGACUAUGGGAUCACAAGUUGUAUUUUCUUCACUGUUGUCCAUGAAAGGCAAAGGGUACAGAAGAGAAAAGUUAAUUUGGAAAGAGAAGAGCUGGCUAAGAAGCUGAUGUCUGAGAAUGAGAUUUGGAUAUCUGGAUCCUGAUUUACAAUAUAGGAUUGACAAAUGUCUAGUCAGGUAUAUGCCACAAAAGCUGGUCAGAAUGUACUUGCCAGAUGUCUUCCGUAGCUAAUCAAAAGGGCUUUCUUUAUACUAAAAAAAAAUAGGGAAAGGAGAAGACUACCUUUGUAUAUGUCUUCCUCAUAGAAAGUAGCUACAAAGAAGGAAGAAUGGAAUGUGAGAUACCUGGAAAUUCACAGAAGAAAAAAAUCCAAGAAAGGUACUAAUGGUUUAAAAAUUUUAUCUCCAAAUGCCCAGAAUUGGUCAAAAAAAAAAAAAAAAAAAAAAAAAAAAAGAAAAGAAUUUUUAUAAUAAAAAAAAAAGAUUUGUUAUAGUGAAUAGCCUUCUGGGAUAUAAAAACAAAAUAUAUAAAUAAAAUUGAUUUUCCAAAGUGUUUAAUGAAUUCUUUACUAAAUUAAAAGCAAAAUAAAACAAAGAGGAGCAGAUCCA
rnacentral:lncRNA from 1 species